GUACCAAAUCGUACAAGUAAUAUAAAUGGUAAGACCAAGUAUCGUUUUCCCAAGAGACUCGUAUAGCUUCCUCGUUCGCGUGAAUUAAAAUAAUAAGACUUGCGAAAUAAAAAUUAAUAAAUUGGAUUUGAGAAAAAAAAUAUUAACAUGCAAAAAUAAAGUUGAUUCAAUUAACAAACGAAAACAAUGGAUGAAUGGAUGUUGUUGGGUACUAAAAAUUUCAUCUAUUCCACUCUCUCUUACAUACUACCCUUGAAUAUUAGUUGAUUGAUUCAAUUGUUAUGCGACUUUCUUAGCCUCCCCUCAACCCGAUCCCUCGGCGAAAAGGGCCUAAUAUUAACUACUGGCUUGCUAUCCCUAGCCUCCCCUAGUAAUUAAUACUGCAUUAUAAACAGAAGUUAGCACAAUUGAUUGUCCUACCCCUAUCCCUAGGUGGUAUUGCAAAAUCAAGAGAUUACUCACCAGUUCAUGUCAUUACUGUAUGUCCCC
rnacentral:lncRNA from 1 species